GAUGAACGCUGGCGGCGUGCCUAAUACAUGCAAGUCGAGCGAAUGGAUUAAGAGCUUGCUCUUAUGAAGUUAGCGGCGGACGGGUGAGUAACACGUGGGUAACCUGCCCAUAAGACUGGGAUAACUCCGGGAAACCGGGGCUAAUACCGGAUAACAUUUUGAACCGCAUGGUUCGAAAUUGAAAGGCGGCUUCGGCUGUCACUUAUGGAUGGACCCGCGUCGCAUUAGCUAGUUGGUGAGGUAACGGCUCACCAAGGCAACGAUGCGUAGCCGACCUGAGGUGGGGAUCGGCCACACUAGGACUGAGACACGGCCCAGACGCCUACGGGAGGCAGCAGUAGGGAAUCUUCCGCAAUGGACGAAAGUCUGACGGAGCAACGCCGCGUGAGUGAUGAAGGCUUUCGGGUCGUAAAACUCUGUUGUUAGGGAAGAACAAGUGCUAGUUGAAUAAGCUGGCACCUUGACGGUACCUAACCAGAAAGCCACGGCUAACUACGUGCCAGCCGCCGCGGUAA
rnacentral:rRNA from 1 species